rnacentral:rRNA from 1 species
UCUUCAGGGGAGAGCGGCGAACGGGUGCGUAACACGUGGGCAACCUGCCCCGGACACCGGGAUAACCCAGGGAAACCUGAGCUAAUACCGGAUACUCCGGCGCGAUCGCACGGUCGCGCCGGGAAAGCUCCGACGGUCCGGGAUGGGCCCGCGGCCUAUCAGCUCGUUGGUGGGGUAACGGCCCACCAAGGCGACGACGGGUAGCUGGUCUGAGAGGACGGCCAGCCACACUGGGACUGAGACACGGCCCAGACUCCUAUGGGAGGCAGCAGUGGGGAAUAUUGCGCCAAUGCGCGAAAGCGUGACGCAGCGACGCCGCGUGGGGGAUGAAGGCCCUCGGGUCGUAAACCCCUUUCGCCAGGGACGAAGGGAGACUGACGGUACCUGGAGAAGAAGUCCCGGCUAACUACGUGCCAGCAGCCGCGGUAACACGUAGGGGACGAGCGUUGUCCGGAUUCAUUGGGCGUAAAGCGCGCGUAGGCGGCCCGGAAAGUCGGUUGUGAAAGCCCGGGGCUCAACCCCGGGACUGCGUCCGAUACUUCCGGGCUGGAGGCAGGUAGGGGAGAUCGGAAUUCCUGGUGUAGCGGUGAAAUGCGCAGAUAUCAGGAGGAACACCGGUGGCGAAGGCGGAUCUCUGGGCCUUGCCUGACGCUGAGGCGCGAAAGCUAGGGGAGCGAACAGGACUAGAUACCCUGGUAGUCCUAGCCGUAAACGUUGGGUGCUAGGUGUGGGCGGACAUCGACCCCGUCCGUGCCGAAGCUAACGCAUUAAGCACCCCGCCUGGGGAGUACGGCCGCAAGGCUAAAACUCAAAGGAAUUGACGGGGGCCCGCACAAGCGGCGGAGCAUGCGGCUUAAUUCGAUGCGACGCGAAGAACCUUACCUGGGCUUGACAUGCAGGGGUGAAACCCGCGAAAAGCGGGUGCUCUACCGGAGCCUGCACAGGUGG